rnacentral:lncRNA from 1 species
GGACAUCAAGGCGAAAAUCCUUAGGAAGGUGCCAAGGAGCCUCAGAGAAAGAAAACAUAUAGAGACAGAAGUGGAGAACCAAAGUCAAACUUCAUCUACUUAAUAGAUGUACUUACCUCAAAUUAUUCUGCCUAUACCAUUGCACACUUGCUUAAAUGAAAUCUCCUCCCUGCCUCUUUUAAAUGGUGUAUUUCCUCAGUAUCUCCAAAUAGAGCAGAGUGUUGCUUUUUGAGACUAGACACUGUGGCUGUCUCUCUUCUGCUCUCCCCACCCCUACCCCAAAUCUACAAUACUGGCAUAAAGAAGAUGCCCAAUGAUUGAUUGUGAGUGGAAAGCACAUAAAAACACAUAAAACUUCAUUCAGUCUCUUUCUUGCUCAUUUUAUUUUUAGCCUAGCAAGCAAUAGUUGCAAUGAGUAUUUUUGUAUGAAUAAAUAAAUUUUCUCCAUGGUCUCUGAAUCCCACCCUCCCCUUUUUCUUUCAGGGCUGGAACAACCAUUAUCUCUGACAACUUAAACUCGCACUCCCUUGUAUUCAUUGUAUCUGGUCUGUGUCGGAUAACUGCUCAGAUGAAUGCUAAGGAAAUACCUGUGUACGUUGCUGUGUCAUGAAGACCAGUUCUUCUACCCUGAAAGAGUUCCACACUAUUCCUCCACCAAGAGGAUGUCUUAAUGCAACUGGUAGAAGUUUAGCAAUUUCUCCCAAGACUUCACUGUCAGCAGGAAGGAAGAAAACACUCAACAAAAAGAAACAGAUUUCAGACGGUUGGAAGAUGAGAUGGUUGGAUGACAUCACCAACUCAAUGGACAUGAACUUGAGAGAACUCCGGUUGAUGGUGAGUGACAGGGAGGCCCCGGCAUGCUGCAGUUCACAGGGUCACAGAGGGUCAGACACAACUUGGCGACUGAACAACAAUAGCAAGAUAGCAGAUAUAUUGCAGAUAGAGCAUAUUUAUGAAAAAAUAGAAAUUCCACUUCAACUAGGA